GUAAGUUCCGACCUGCACGAAUGGCAUAAUGAUGGGGGCGCUGUCUCCAGCAGAGACUCAGUGAAAUCGAAUUCGCCGUGAAGAUGCGGUGUACCCGCGGCUAGACGGAAAGACCCCGUGAACCUUUACUACAGCUUGGCACUGAACAUUGAACCUACAUGUGUAGGAUAGGUGGGAGGCUUUGAAGGCGUGACGCCAGUUGCGCUGGAGCCGUCCUUGAAAUACCACCCUUGUAUGUUUGAUGUUCUAACCAGGGCCCUGAAUCGGGCUCGCGGACAGCGCCUGGUGGGUAGUUUGACUGGGGCGG
rnacentral:rRNA from 1 species